AGGAUUAACGCUGGCGGCGUGCCUGACACAUGCAAGUCGAACGAGGCCGCAAGGCCGAGUGGCGGACGGGUGAGUAACACGUGACCAACCAACCUCGAAGUUGGGAAUAGCUCUGCGAAAGUAGGGGUAAUACCGAAUGUGGCCCAGGGCGGGCAUCCGCCUUGGUCUAAAGAUUCAUCGCUUCGAGACGGGGUCGCGGCCUAUUAGCUUGUUGGUGAGGUAACGGCUCACCAAGGCGAUGAUGGGUAGCUGGUCUGAGAGGACGACCAGCCACACUGGGACUGAGACACGGCCCAGACUCCUACGGGAGGCAGCAGUGAGGAAUCUUCCGCAAUGGGCGAAAGCCUGACGGAGCAACGCCGCGUGUGGGGAUGAAGACUCUAGGGUUGUAAACCACUGUCGGAGGGGACGAUCGUGACGGUACCCUCCAAGAAAGCCCCGGCUAACCUACGUGCCAGCAGCCGC
rnacentral:rRNA from 1 species